UACGGGGGGGGCAAGCGUUGUUCGGAAUUACUGGGCGUAAAGGGCUCGUAGGCGGCCAACUAAGUCAGACGUGAAAUCCCUCGGCUUAACCGGGGAACUGCGUCUGAUACUGGAUGGCUUGAGAUUGGGAGAGGGAUGCGGAAUUCCAGGUGUAGCGGUGAAAUGCGUAGAUAUCUGGAGGAACACCGGCGGCGAAGGCGGCAUCCUGGACCAACACUGACGCUGAGUGAGCGAAAGCCAGGGGAGCAAACGGG
rnacentral:rRNA from 1 species